rnacentral:rRNA from 1 species
UAAAACGUAGGGGGCGAGCGUUAUCCGGAAUUACUGGGCGUAAAGCGCAUGCAGGCGGUUUACUAAGAUAGCCGUGAAAGCUCCUGGCUUAACUGGGAGAGGUCGGAUAUGACUGGUAAACUUGAGUGAGGUAGAGGAGAGCGGAAUUCCCGGUGUAGUGGUGGAAUGCGUAGAGAUCGGGAGGAACACCAGUGGCGAAAGCGGCUCUCUGGGCCUUUAACCGACGCUCAGAUGCGAAAGCGUGGGGAGCAAACGGGAUUAGAUACCCCGGUAGUCCACGCUGUAAACGAUGGAUACUAGGUGUAGCGGGUAUUGACCCCUGCUGUGCCGUAGCAAACGCGAUAAGUAUCCCGCCUGGGGACUACGGUCGCAAGACUA